GGUUAAGCGACUAAGCGUACACGGUGGAUGCCCUGGCAGUCAGAGGCGAUGAAGGACGUGCUAAUCUGCGAAAAGCGCCGGCGAGGUGAUAUGAACCUUUGACCCGGCGAUGUCCGAAUGGGGAAACCCAGUGCAAUCCGUUGCACUAUCGUUAACUGAAUACAUAGGUUAACGAGGCGAACCGGGGGAACUGAAACAUCUAAGUACCCCGAGGAAAAGAAAUCAACCGAGAUUCCCCCAGUAGCGGCGAGCGAACGGGGAGCAGCCCGGAGUCUGAAUCAGCUUGUGUGUUAGUGGAACGGUCUGGAAAGUCCGACGGUACAGGGUGAUAGUCCCGUACACGAAAGCACACUUGCUGUGAACUCGAAGAGUAGGGCGGGACACGUGGUAUCCUGUCUGAAUAUGGGGGGACCAUCCUCCAAGGCUAAAUACUCCUGACUGACCGAUAGUGAACCAGUACCGUGAGGGAAAGGCGAAAAGAACCCCGGCGAGGGGAGUGAAAAAGAACCUGAAACCGUGUACGUACAAGCAGUGGGAGCCUCUUUAUGGGGUGACUGCGUACCUUUUGUAUAAUGGGUCAGCGACUUAUAUUCUGUAGCAAGGUUAACCGUAUAGGGGAGCCGAAGGGAAACCGAGUCUUAACUGGGCGUUAAGUUGCAGGGUAUAGACCCGAAACCCGGUGAUCUAGCCAUGGGCAGGUUGAAGGUUGGGUAACACUAACUGGAGGACCGAACCGACUAAUGUUGAAAAAUUAGCGGAUGACCUGUGGCUGGGGGUGAAAGGCCAAUCAAACCGGGAGAUAGCUGGUUCUCCCCGAAAGCUAUUUAGGUAGCGCCUCGUGAAUUCAUCUUCGGGGGUAGAGCACUGUUUCGGCUAGGGGGCCAUCCCGGCUUACCAACCCGAUGCAAACUACGAAUACCGAAGAAUGUUAUCACGGGAGACACACGGCGGGUGCUAACGUCCGUCGUGAAGAGGGAAACAACCCAGACCGCCAGCUAAGGUCCCAAAGUCAUGGUUAAGUGGGAAACGAUGUGGGAAGGCACAGACAGCCAGGAUGUUGGCUUAGAAGCAGCCAUCAUUUAAAGAAAGCGUAAUAGCUCACUGGUCGAGUCGGCCUGCGCGGAAGAUGUAACGGGGCUAAACCAUGCACCGAAGCUGCGGCAGCGACGCUUAGGCGUUGUUGGGUAGGGGAGCGUUCUGUAAGCCGUUGAAGGUGUCCUGUGAGGGGUGCUGGAGGUAUCAGAAGUGCGAAUGCUGACAUAAGUAACGAUAAAGCGGGUGAAAAGCCCGCUCGCCGGAAGACCAAGGGUUCCUGUCCAACGUUAAUCGGGGCAGGGUGAGUCGACCCCUAAGGCGAGGCCGAAAGGCGUAGUCGAUGGGAAACAGGUUAAUAUUCCUGUACUUGGUGUUACUGCGAAGGGGGGACGGAGAAGGCUAUGUCAGCCGGGCGACGGUUGUCCCGGUUUAAGCAUGUAGGCGGAGGUUCCAGGUAAAUCCGGUACCUUAUUAACGCUGAGGUGUGAUGACGAGGCACUACGGUGCUGAAGUGAUAAAUGCCCUGCUUCCAGGAAAAGCCUCUAAGCAUCAGGUAACACGAAAUCGUACCCCAAACCGACACAGGUGGUCAGGUAGAGAAUACCAAGGCGCUUGAGAGAACUCGGGUGAAGGAACUAGGCAAAAUGGUGCCGUAACUUCGGGAGAAGGCACGCUGAUAUGUAGGUGAAGCCCCUGCGGGCGGAGCUGAAAUCAGUCGAAGAUACCAGCUGGCUGCAACUGUUUAUUAAAAACACAGCACUGUGCAAACACGAAAGUGGACGUAUACGGUGUGACGCCUGCCCGGUGCCGGAAGGUUAAUUGAUGGGGUUAGCGGCAACGCGAAGCUCUUGAUCGAAGCCCCGGUAAACGGCGGCCGUAACUAUAACGGUCCUAAGGUAGCGAAAUUCCUUGUCGGGUAAGUUCCGACCUGCACGAAUGGCGUAAUGAUGGCCAGGCUGUCUCCACCCGAGACUCAGUGAAAUUGAACUCGCUGUGAAGAUGCAGUGUACCCGCGGCAAGACGGAAAGACCCCGUGAACCUUUACUAUAGCUUGACACUGAACACUGGUCCUUGAUGUGUAGGAUAGGUGGGAGGCUUUGAAGCGUGGACGCCAGUCUGCGUGGAGCCAACCUUGAAAUACCACCCUUUAAUGGCUGGUGUUCUAACGUAGACCCGUAAUCCGGGUUGCGGACAGUGUCUGGUGGGUAGUUUGACUGGGGCGGUCUCCUCCCAAAGAGUAACGGAGGAGCACGAAGGUUGGCUAAUCCUGGUCGGACAUCAGGAGGUUAGUGCAAUGGCAUAAGCCAGCUUGACUGCGAGCGUGACGGCGCGAGCAGGUGCGAAAGCAGGUCAUAGUGAUCCGGUGGUUCUGAAUGGAAGGGCCAUCGCUCAACGGAUAAAAGGUACUCCGGGGAUAACAGGCUGAUACCGCCCAAGAGUUCAUAUCGACGGCGGUGUUUGGCACCUCGAUGUCGGCUCAUCACAUCCUGGGGCUGAAGUAGGUCCCAAGGGUAUGGCUGUUCGCCAUUUAAAGUGGUACGCGAGCUGGGUUUAGAACGUCGUGAGACAGUUCGGUCCCUAUCUGCCGUGGGCGCUGGAGAAUUGAGGGGGGCUGCUCCUAGUACGAGAGGACCGGAGUGGACGCAUCACUGGUGUUCGGGUUGUCAUGCCAAUGGCACUGCCCGGUAGCUAAAUGCGGAAGAGAUAAGUGCUGAAAGCAUCUAAGCACGAAACUUGCCCCGAGAUGAGUUCUCCCUGAGACUUUAAGUCUCCUGAAGGAACGUUGAAGACUACGACGUUGAUAGGUCGGGUGUGUAAGCGCAGCGAUGCGUUGAGCUAACCGAUACUAAUGAACCGUGAGGCUUAACCUU
rnacentral:rRNA from 1 species